CACCCCAAGAUCUACCGAGCUAGCUUGUCUUGCCAAGUCAGUGAGCUCCAAGUUCAGUGAGUAACCCUGUCUCUAAAUAAGUAAAUAAUAGAGGAAGAUAUCUGAUUUGACCUCUGGCUCCAAUCCCCACACACAUACCGGAACAGACACUCAAAAUCCUGGUCAGCUCUCAGGAAACCUGUCUCCCAUUCUUCUAGGGAUCCUGCCAAUGCUCUGCGGUGGAUGGGAGGGCCGCCUCUGCGCUGGGACCUCCAGGCCCGGCAGGCAGGAAAGCAGCCCACCGAACCUCUCCCCCACUUUAGGGGGUCAACACCCUCAGCCUAACUGCAUAGGUAAACCACCCCCUGGAAGAACAAAAAAGUGGCCUUGCAGACUCGCUGUAGUGAGAGGAGAAAAUAGGAUUAGGCCAAAGUCUGAGCAAGACCCAACUGUGCCUGUGCUUCAGCUGGUGAACCUGGAAAGGAAAAGUGGGGUCCUGAAAUGGGAGUUCUGGGAUUCCACUGGUUGCUCCCUGGUGGGGCAUCAAGAAGCAAAGUAAAUAAAGCAGAGGGAGCAGAAUCCCUGAGCCUGUGCCCAGAGGCUGCCUAGACCACAAAGCACAGAGACGGUCUCAGAGCCAGGCUGGCAGUGGAAAGAGUCUGGCCUGCACAUAGUUACCAAGCUUGUCAUCAGGAAGGUAGGAAGGGGACAGGUUCUCUCCAGGUGGGCAAGGGACUCUUGGGCCCAAAGCAUUAGAAGUGAGUUGGGGUGCACAAUGCUUGAGGUGUGAAACACCCCGGCAGGGUGCUCCGUGAAGAGGAUGGAGAUCAAUGCAGA
rnacentral:lncRNA from 1 species